CUCUGGCCCACACUAUGCUCUCUUUGCCCUUGACUCCAGGACCCGAACCAGGCCUACGCACCAUUAGCAUGCAAGCUCUGACCCCUGGGGCCGAGCCGCGACACAACACAUCAUGACAUCCUCUCACACUCAUCAAAGACGGCAGACGCUUCUGUAAAUCUGUAGAAAAGCAAAUUUGGGGGAACCAUGCAUUUAGAGUUUCCCAUGAGG